rnacentral:tRNA from 1 species
UGCAUGAUAGUUUAAUGGCAAAAACUGCACUGUGGAAAUGGUGCAAUAUCGGUUCGAUUCCGGUUCACGCGG